ensembl:lncRNA
CCGAAAUAGCAAAAGCGACGAGGAGUCGUGUUGGCUGCCUGCUGGGGAGUGAGGAGAUCUGCUUUCACUCCGCUGCCCCACAUAUUUCCUGCUGGCUGGACGCCUUGUGAUUCUGCGAGUAGACACGCCUGCCGUAGUUCGACAUCAUAAGCAGGAGCAGCAGAGGAUGCCAGGCAGCUCUCCUGAGAAACAAUUAGCUGUGAACUUCAGAGGAGAACAAUGAUUAGCAUUAACCUCGUUUGGACCGCUGCGCUAAUUAGAGGCUCCGCAAAACAAGAUCUCACCAAUCUGCUGCUGGUGUUCUACCUGCACAUCUACUUAAAAGGAGGCUUCAAACUGGCGGAUCCACAGCUGAGGAAACACCAUGUUUUUUGGGGUGAUGUGCUCGUGUGACACCGUCGACCCCCCCCCUCCCGUGAACUCAAGUAGGGCUGAGAUGUCAGACGCGGCGGGUGAUCAGUGCGGUUACGUUGUCCAGCCGCUUCACGCCAGCAUAGAACUGUCAUUUGUGGGUGCGCGUCUACGUCCUCUCUGGAGAGCGGAGGAGGCGCCAAGGGAGUCGCAGUGACUCACGCUGUGGGAGAGAAGGGGAGUGAGGGACAGAGGGAAAGUGCCCACAUCAUCCCCCUCCGUCAUUACAGCCCACACCACCCACAGAAACUAAAGAGCGCAUUCACACAGAGAACACACACACACACACAUGGCAGCAUAUGAAAGAGGUAGCCUCCACAUCAGUGUGUCAGAGAGGCUUAUCCAUAAUGGGCAAGGCAGGCUGCAGCAGUGAAUCAAGCACUUAUUCAGAGAAGCCCUCCUGUAUAAUACAGUGCUCACAAUUAGAGUAGACAUUCACAGAAAAUGGUUAAAAGCUGCAAAUUAUCAUGUUUCGGUCGACACACGACUGGCGCUUUCUCGCGGUCACAGCUUGAUACAUUUUACAAUUUGGAUUUCACAUGUUGAAUAGAGAAGGCUUUUGAUCUGGGGAGUCAGAUAUUUGCCAUUGUGUGAGGCGUCGGGAGGAGACUGCUGUUGUAUUAGUGACAAACCUGUAUGAAAAAG